AUUUGGAGGCAGGAAUAAUGGAACUUACCUAUGGGCGAGUGGAUGCUUCCAGGGUCCAUUUUGAAUCAGCUGCAGCAACAUCCAGACUUAAUUUUUCGCUAAGUGGGGCUUUGGGCUUUCGCACUGUACACCAGGCGGAACCGAAAGCACAGCUUCUUCUUGUAGGUAGUGCGGAUGGUGAUGAUUCUAGUGCUUCACUUGGUAAUGAUUUCCAAAAUAAGGUUUCUACUCAAGGUGAAAAUGCUUUUCCUCAACGUCCCAGUGAAACUCAUGAAGCAUCUGACAUAUUGAUGACCCCUAGAUUCUUGGAGGAUGAUAAAAAGUUAGAAUGUAGCGCACAAGAUGCUCAAAAUCACAGCAUAGCCUCUAUGCAAUUAAAGCCUACUCAGCAAGCAAUAAUUUUAGCACAAUGUCUUUCUAUUGAGAAGAGAGCUCGGAGUGAUGAACUGCAAAGGUGGGAGAUGGCUCCUUACAUUGAGGCAAUUGAUUCCCAGCAGUCAUCACCUUUUACGCUACAACAUUUGUGUGGUAUAUUACGCAUUCGAUGGGAAUCAACUCGCGGCCGUACAAAGCAGCGUGCAUUGCUGAUGAUGGAUAAACUGGUUCAAGGCAUAAAUGAUCCUUCUCCUGGAGCUUCACAAAGGAUGCAUUGUUGUUUUGGAGUUAGCA
rnacentral:misc_RNA from 1 species